GCCGGGUGCGGUGGCGCGCGCCUGUAAUCCAAGUUACCGGAGGCUGAGACUGGUGGAUCGUUUGAGCUUAGGAGGUCUGAGCUGCAGUGGACUAUGUCGAUCGGGUGUCCGCACUAAGUUCGGUAUCGAUAUGGUGCUCCUGGGGAGCCCGGGACCACCAGGUCGUCUAAGGAGGGGUGCACCGGCCCAGGUCGGAAACGAAGCAGGCCAAAGCCCCCGUGCCGCUCAGUAGUGGGAUCGCGCCUGUGAAUAGACGCUGUAGUGCAGCCUGAGUAAUACAGCGGGACCCAGUCUUUU
rnacentral:SRP_RNA from 1 species